AGGCUAAGAAAUAAGUAUUGAGGUACAAACUGAACAGUUUGUUUCCCCAAAGCCUAGACCUCUGAUUGUGAUUGUGGGCAUUGGUACAGUCUUGACAUGAGUUUAAUAUAGUCCUGUUUGACUCAGUCAUACCAGCAAAGCAGGGGGCUCAGAUCACCAUCUCUUGUCUAUUCUAUAUUCUCAAGGUUUUUAAUACUUGUCCCCUUCAUACCAUUACCACUACUAUCUCCAUGUCCUUUGCUCACUUGCCACCUGGAUUCCUAUCUGAUCUCCCUUCUGAAAUCUCUUCUAUGUCCAAUAUCCUCCAAUGACUUUUCCUUACUGAAUGACUUAAUGGGUAAAUUAGUCUCUUGGUGCAUCACUUUUAUCCUAUCACUCCUUAGUUCAAAAAUCUUGAAUGGUUCCUAAACAGUAACUUCUAAUUGCAUCAUUCAAGGACCUCAGAUCCGGUUCCAAUCUAUCUUUCCAACUUGAUCUUCUACCAUUCUCUAACACAUUUUCCAUGUGCCAACUAAAUGUGUCUUUAUCAUCCUUGGCUCCCUUUACCCAUGCUUUUUUCUUGGAUGCCCUCAUCCUAUUUCUGCCUGUCAAAAUCCUCCUUAUUUAAGGCUUAACUCCAAUGCCACAUUCUCCAUGAAGUCUUCCCUAAUUGCUCCUACAUCUGGCUCUCAUCCAGGAGUGACUUUUUCCUCUCUCUGAAAUUUGUAACACCUUUUAUACCAAGCCAUGAAAUACUGCUUUGUAUUGUAGCUAUGAUUGUGUAUAUCUAAUUCUUUUUGGCUAGAUGGCAUAUCCCCUUGAGAAAAGAAAUCAUGUCUUAUUCAUCUUUAGUGGUUGAUACCCCAUACCCAAGCCUGGCAAAGUGGCUUGCAUACGAAUUUUUCAGGAUCUUGUAGGAGCAGCACUUCCCUCCAGGUUGGCACUAUACCUACUGUCCUGAAGAAAUGGCCCUCCUAAGAACCCCCCUGGAGUUAGAUUUUUUCCUCAGUGUUGACAAAUGGAGGGAGCAAAGGCCCAUUGGCCUUUGGGAUGGUUUACUCUAUAAACAACCCUCCUCAAACAGAGGUUCCCCCUUCCAGCAACCAGGAAGGCAGUCAUUAUCUCAGGGCUCCAGCUCCGACGGUUCAUGAGGAAGUAGCCAGCCGUGCCCAGAGCUGCCAACAGAAGACCUGAGGUGACCAAGGCAAUCAGUGUUUUUCGG